ACAACAACAACAACAACAACAACAACGACAGCCAAAAGCUAAAGAGAGCAACGGCGCCAUUCGGCGAAGCUCUCUCAAUCUUCUCAGGAGUUGUUGUUGCAUUGUUAACAUUGGAUUAUUAGCCCCACAUUUUCCGCUAAGGUACUCAUGUAGGGAAAAUACCAGAAAUCGCCUCAGCAGCAACAACAACAACAACAAAUACAACGUUAACAGCAACGGGACAUGGAUAUUCAUAUGAAAAAACUAACGAAACCACGGUGAGUCAUGAAAACAAACAGAUUAACGACUUUGCAGUGUAAGUAAAGAUUUUGUUAUAGAUAAAUAGAUGUGCGUUUUAUAGGGUACGAUUCGUCAGUCAUGCGAAAGUUAUGCCAAAAUACCGUUGCGUGUCGCAUUGAUAAAGCAACUUGAGUGGAAAUUUAUUGCCAAGUCACUAAAAUCA